AUUGAACGCUGGCGGCAGGCCUAACACAUGCAAGUCGAGCGAGCGGCGGACGGGUGAGUAAUGUAUGGGGACUGCCCGAUAGAGGGGGAUAACUACUGGAAACGGUAGCUAAUACCGCAUACUAUCGGAUAACCCAUAUGGGAUUAGCUAGUGGGUGAGGUAAUGGCUCACCUAGGCGACGCUCCCUAGCUGGUCUGAGAGGAUGAUCAGCCAAAGUGGGACUGAGACACGGCCCAGACUCCUACGGAGGCAGCAGUGGGGAAUUUUGGGCAAUGGGCGAAAGCCGGCUGCAGCCAGGCCGGGGGUAGGAAGAAGGUCUUAGGGUUGUAAAGUGCUGUCGGUGGGGAAGCGUUACCGAAAGAAAAAGCACCGGCUAACUCCGUGCCAGCCGCCGCGGUAAUAC
rnacentral:rRNA from 1 species